rnacentral:rRNA from 1 species
AUGGCCAACGCUCAUGUCAACAUGAACUUCAACGCGUUCCUAGAGAAAACCAAGCUGAAAGAUGAUGGCAGCAACUAUACGGACUGGGUCCGGAACCUGAGGAUCAUCCUCAUAGCUGCCAGGAAACAAUAUGUCCUAGAAGGACCGCUAGGUGACGCUCCCGUCCCAGAGAACCAAGACAUUAUGAAUGCUUGGCAGUCUCGUGCUGAUGAUUACUCCCUCGUUCAGUGCGGCAUGCUUUACAACUUAGAACCGGGGCUCCAAAAGCGUUUUGAGCAUCACGGAGCAUAUGAGAUGUUCGAAGAGCUGAAACUAGUUUUCCAAGCUCACGCCCGGGUCGAGAGAUAUGAUGUCUCCGACAAGUUCUAUAGUUGUAAGAUGGAGGAAAACAGUUCUGUCAGUGAACACAUCCUGAAGAUGUCUGGGUUGCACAACCGUAUGACCCAGCUGAACAUUAACCUCCCAGAUGAGGCGGUCAUUGACAGAAUCCUCCAAUCGCUCCCACCAAGCUACAAGAGCUUUGUGAUGAACUACAACAUGCAGGGGAUGGAAAAGACCAUUCCUGAAGUGGUCUCAAUGCUGAAGUCAGCGGAGGCUGAAAUCAAGAAAGAACAUCAAGUGUUGAUGGUCAAUAAGACCACUAAGUUCAAGAAGGGCAAGGGUAAGAAGAACUUCAAGAAGGACGGCAAGGAGGUUGCCGCGCCUGGUAAGCCAGUUGCCAGGAAGAAGUCAAAGAAUGGACCCAAGGCUGAGAUUGAGUGCUUUUAUUGCAAGGGGAAGGGUCACUGGAAGCGGAACUGCCCCAAAUACUUAGCGGAUAAGAAGGCCGGCAACACCAAAGGAGCUGCGGAAUAA